ACACCACACAUAUAUAUAUAUACACACAUAUACAUGUGUGUGUGUAUAUAUAAAUGUGUGUAUAUGUGUAUAUAUAUGUAUAUAUGUGGGUAU